GGGAAGAUAGCUCAGGGUGAGUGCUUGCCUGGCAAGCAUGAUGCCUGGAGUUUGAUUCCCAGUACUCUCU
rnacentral:tRNA from 1 species